rnacentral:rRNA from 1 species
GAUGAACGCUGGCGGCGUGCCUAAUACAUGCAAGUCGAGCGAACAGACGAGGAGCUUGCUCCUUUGACGUUAGCGGCGGACGGGUGAGUAACACGUAGGUAACCUACCUAUAAGACUGGGAUAACUUCGGGAAACCGGAGCUAAUACCGGAUAAUAUUUCGAACCGCAUGGUUCGAUAGUGAAAGAUGGCUUUGCUAUCACUUAUAGAUGGACCUGCGCCGUAUUAGCUAGUUGGUAAGGUAACGGCUUACCAAGGCAACGAUACGUAGCCGACCUGAGAGGGUGAUCGGCCACACUGGAACUGAGACACGGUCCAG